UUUGGGGGAGUGCACUCUGACAGCCAGGCCCAGGAUCAACACUAACGUGGUCAGACACUUGUGCGAUGAGCUGCAAAAAUCACAGCAGGCGUGGGGCUCCGGGCAGCCUCCUGGAAAAUGUGACAAAUAGCCGAGCUGCCCACCCUGGGACAUACCUGUGUACACCAGGAUGCGAUUCUGACUAGUAAGUGUAUUAAUUAUGCCCAAGGCCUGGCAAUAACUCUUAGGGAUUCUGUAGCAGAAUUUCCAGGGCAGUGCUCUGAGCACUGUCAGAGGAGGCAGGAGGUGGACCAGGAAUAUUCCCACGUGUGGCCCUAGGCUUCCCUCCAGCCCAUCAAAAGAGCAGUUUCCAGGAUCGAACAUAUUUAACAGAUGUGCUGCAGGUUCUGAACAUGAUUCCACAAAAGAUGACCCCACUGUCUAAGAGGACGGCCACUCUGCAGCCACGACUGCACCCCUGAAAGCACAGGACAGUAGGGGAGGCUCCUUCAGCUGACACAGCCAAGGAUGCUUCUGAGCUGGGGAGGUUGGAGUUAGGGCUUGAAGUCAGGCGAGGUUUGGUUAAGAACGGAAAUAAGGAUUCAGCGAUGGGGAAGCAUUUCAGUUCCACAAC
rnacentral:lncRNA from 1 species